rnacentral:rRNA from 1 species
AUUGAACGCUGGCGGCAGGCUUAACACAUGCAAGUCGAGCGAGCGGCGGACGGGUGAGUAAUGUCUGGGAAACUGCCUGAUGGAGGGGGAUAACUACUGGAAACGGUAGCUAAUACCGCAUACCAUCAGAUGUGCCCAGAUGGGAUUAGCUAGUAGGUGGGGUAAGCGCGCACCUAGGCCACGAUCCCUAGCUGGUCUGAGAGGAUGACCAGCAACACUGGAACGGAGACACGGUCCAGACUACUACGGGAGGCAGCAGUGGGGAAUAUUGCACAAUGGGCGCAAGCCUGAUGCAGACAUGCCGCGUGUAUGAAGAAGGCCUUAGGGUUGUAAAGUACUUUCAGCGGGGAGGCGUUACCCGCAGAAGAAGAACCGGCUAACUCCGUGCCAGCAGCCGCGGUAAUAC